rnacentral:rRNA from 1 species
GAAGCUGCGGACGGCUCAUUAUAUAGGUUAUAAUUCUGCUUGAUAGUUUCAUCUAAAUGGAUACACGCAGUAAUUCUGGGAACAAUACACGCAUCAAGCACCAUUCGUGGUGGCGUUUAUCGGACUAAACCAACUUUGUGGGUGAAUCACGAUAACUAAGCAAACCGCAGUGGCCUUUGCGUCGGCGGUGAAUCAAUUGAGUUUCCUCCCCAUCAGUUUACGUUGUUAAGGUAUUGGCUUAACAAGACUGUCACGGGUGACGGAGAGUUAGGGCUUGACUCCGGAGAGGGAGCCUGAGAAACGGCUACCACUUCCAAGGAAGGCAGCAGGCGCGAAAAUUGUCCAAUGCCAACUCGGCGAGACAGCGACAAGUAAUAUCGUGUGAAGCGGCUACGCCGUUUCUUUCACGAAAUGAGAGAAAUGUAAAAGACUCAACGAUGAUCAAAUAGAGGGCAAGUCUGGUGCCAGCAGCCGCGGUAAUUCCAGCUCUGUUAGCGUACACUAAUGUUGUUGCAGUUAAAAAGCUCGUAGUCGAAAUUGCAGCGCAUGUUGACUGCCGGCUUGGCUCGAAUGAGCCUUGUUUUCCGGCUGGUCGACGUUUGCUGUCCAGGUUGUACGCAAGUAUGACCUCUUUCACUGUAAACAAAUCAGAAUGUUCAAAGUAGGCCGUAGGCCUGAAUAUUUCUUAUGGGAUGAUAAGAUAAGGCUCCCGCGCGAUUUUGUUGGAUUGUUGUACGCGGGAUGUAAUGAUGAAUAGGAACAGCAGGAGGUGUUUGUAUUCUAGAGCUAGUGGUGGAAUACUUGGAUUUCUAGAAGACAAACAACAGCGAAGGCCACUCACCUAGGAUGUCUCCAUUGAUCAAGAGCUAAAGUCAAGGGAUCGAAGAUGAUUAGAUACCAUCGUAGUCUUGACCGUAAACGAUGCCGACUCGCGAUCGCGCCUUGGUUUUUUUUAUGCCUGGCGCGGCAGCGGAUGCGAAAGCGAAGUUUUUGGGUUCCGGGGGGAGUAUGUGCGCAAGCAUGAAACUUAAAGGAAUUGACGGAAGGGCACCACCAGGAGUGGAACCUGCGGCUUAAUUUGACUCAACACGGGGAAACUUACCAGGUCCGGACAUGGGAAGAAUUGACAGAUUGAGAGCUCUUUCUUGAUUCUAUGGGUGGUGGUGCAUGGCCGUUGUUGGUUGGUGGAGUGAUCUGUCUGGUUAAUUCCGUUAACGAACGAGACUUCUACUGUUAAAUAGGUGCGCUUGUGGCGACACAGGUCUUUUUGGCACCUUCUUAGCGGGACACGUCCGGUUUACGGGCGGGAGGCUAGAAGCAAUAACAGGUCCGUGAUGCCCUUUGAUGUUCUGGGCCGCACGCGCGUUACACUGAUUCGUUCAACGGGUGUGUUCUUCUUUUGCUUUUUGGCAGAGUUGGCGUUCCUUCACCGAAAGGUGUGGGCAAACCUUUGAAUGCGAAUCGUGAUGGGGCUAGAUCUUUGCAAUUAUUGAUCUCCAACGAGGAAUUCCUAGUAAGCGCGAGUCGUCAACUCGCACUGAUUACGUCCCUGCCCUUUGUACACACCGCCCGUCGCACCUACCGAUCGAACGACCAGUUGAAAUCCUGGGAUUCGUGCGUUAGCUGUUUGUUCAGCUUUUGCGCGGAGAACUCGAUUGAAUCUUGUUGUUUAGAGGAAGGUGAAGUCGUAACAAGGUUUCUGUAGGUGAACCUGCAGAAGGAUCA